rnacentral:rRNA from 1 species
UACGUAGGUGGCAAGCGUUGUCCGGAAUUAUUGGGCGUAAAGAGCGUGUAGGCGGUCCGGUAAGUCCGCUGUGAAAGUCAAGGGCUCAACCCUUGAAAGCCGGUUGAUACUGUCGGGCUAGAGUCCGGAAGAGGCGAGUGGAAUUCCCCGGUGUAGCGGUGAAAUGCGCAGAUAUCAGGAGGAACACCGGUGGCGAAGGCGGGUCUCUGGGCCGAUACUGACGCUGAGGAGCGAAAGCGUGGGGAGCGAACAGG